ACGAAGCUUGAUUACGGAUUCUUCGGAUGGAGUAUGAUAUGACUGAGUGGCGGACGGGUGAGUAACGCGUGAGUAACCUGCCCUUCAGAGGGGGAUAGCGUUUGGAAACGAACGGUAAUACCGCAUAAUGUAUUUUGACCGCAUGAUCGAAAUACCAAAGAUUUAUCGCUGAAGGAUGGACUCGCGUCUGAUUAGGUAGUUGGUGGGGUAACGGCCUACCAAGCCGACGAUCAGUAGCCGGACUGAGAGGUUGAUCGGCCACAUUGGGACUGAGACACGGCCCAGACUCCUACGGGAGGCAGCAGUGGGGAAUAUUGCACAAUGGGCGCAAGCCUGAUGCAGCAACGCCGCGUGAAGGAAGACGGUUUUCGGAUUGUAAACUUCUGUUCUUAGUGAAGAAUAAUGACGGUAGCUAAGGAGCAAGCCACGGCUAACUACGUGCCAGCAGCCGCGGUAAUACGUAGGUGGCAAGCGUUGUCCGGAAUUACUGGGUGUAAAGGGAGCGCAGGCGGGUGAUCAAGUCAGCUGUGAAAACUACGGGCUUAACCCGUAGACUGCAGUUGAAACUGUUCAUCUUGAGUGAAGUAGAGGUUGGCGGAAUUCCGAGUGUAGCGGUGAAAUGCGUAGAUAUUCGGAGGAACACCGGUGGCGAAGGC
rnacentral:rRNA from 1 species